rnacentral:tRNA from 1 species
GCUUUGGCUCAGUGGUAGAGUGCUUGUCUAGCAUGCUGGAGGUCCUGGGCUCAAUUCCCAGCACUGCA